CAGCCGUAAACUAUGCGCGUUAGGUGUACUGGUGACCACGAGUCACCGGGGUGCCGAAGGGAAACCGUGAAACGUGCCGCCUGGGAAGUACGGUCGCAAGGCUGGAACUUAAAGGAAUUGGCGGGGGAGCACCACAACGGGUGGAGCCUGCGGUUUAAUUGGACUCAACGCCGGAAAUCUCACCGGAUAGGACAGACAUAUGAUAGUCGGGCUGAAGACUCUACUUGAUGAUCUGAGAGGUGGUGCAUGGCGUCAGUGACU
rnacentral:rRNA from 1 species